UACGAAGGGGGGCUAGCGUUGCUCGGAUUGACUGGGCGUAAAGGGGCGCGUAGGCGGUUCGUACAGUCAGACGUGAAAUUCCUGGGCUCAACCUGGGGGCUGCGUUUGAUACGUGCGGACUUGAGUGCGGAAGAGGGUCGUGGAAUUCCCAGUGUAGAGGUGAAAUUCGUAGAUAUUGGGAAGAACACCGGUGGCGAAGGCGGCGACCUGGUCCGAUACUGACGGCUGAGGCGCGAAAGCGUGGGGAGCAAACAGG
rnacentral:rRNA from 1 species